UGUCCACCGAAAGCCUAAGGUUUCCUGGGGAAGGCUCGUCCUCCCAGGGUUAGUCGGGACCUAAGCUGAGGCCGAAAGGCGUAGGCGAUGGACAACUGGUUGAUAUUCCAGUACCACCUCUGUUCCGCUUGAGCAAUGGCGUGACGCAGGAGGAUAGGGUGAGCGGCCUAUUGGAUGGCCGUCUAAGCAGUAAGUGUGGUGUGUAGGCAAAUCCGCACACCA
rnacentral:rRNA from 1 species